UCGAGAAUUUUUCUCAAUGGGCGAAAGCCUGAAGGAGCGACGCCGCGUGAGGGAUGAAGGGCUUCGGCCUGUAAACCUCUGUCAUUUGCGAACAAACCUUACUCGUGAAUAACGGGUGAGCUGAUAGUAGCGAAAGAGGAAGGGACGGCUAACUCUGUG
rnacentral:rRNA from 1 species